UAGAUAGUUGGUGAGGUAACGGCUCACCAAGUCGACGAUCAGUAGCCGGACUGAGAGGUUGAACGGCCACAUUGGGACUGAGAUACGGCCCAGACUCCUACGGGAGGCAGCAGUGGGGAAUAUUGCACAAUGGGGGAAACCCUGAUGCAGCAACGCCGCGUGAAGGAAGACGGUUUUCGGAUUGUAAACUUCUUUUCUUAGUGAAGAAGAAAGUGACGGUAGCUAAGGAAUAAGCAUCGGCUAACUAC
rnacentral:rRNA from 1 species